rnacentral:rRNA from 1 species
GAUCCUGGCUCAGGAUGAACGCUAGCGACAGGCUUAACACAUGCAAGUCGAGGGGCAGCAUAAAAGUAGCAAUACGUUUGGUGGCGACCGGCGCACGGGUGAGUAACGCGUAUGCAACCUACCUAUCAGGAGGGGAAUAACCCGGCGAAAGUCGGACUAAUACCGCAUAAAACAGGGACACCGCAUGGUGAUAUUUGUUAAAGAAAUUCGCUGAUAGAUGGGCAUGCGUUCCAUUAGGUAGUUGGUGAGGUAACGGCUCACCAAGCCGACGAUGGAUAGGGGAACUGAGAGGUUGGUCCCCCACACUGGUACUGAGACACGGACCAGACUCCUACGGGAGGCAGCAGUGAGGAAUAUUGGUCAAUGGGCGAGAGCCUGAACCAGCCAAGUCGCCGUGAAGGAAGAAGGAUCUAUGGUUCGUAAACUUCUUUUGCAGGGGAAUAAAGUGCAGGACGUGUCCUGUUUUGUAUGUACCCUGAGAAUAAGGAUCGGCUAACUCCGUGCCAGCCGCAGC